rnacentral:rRNA from 1 species
AAUAGCCUAACGGCUGAACCAGCAACUUGGAGGAAUGAAUAGCAAUAGCUAAUUGCAUAAAUACAUGAUGCAAUAUCGACUCAGUCGAAUAAAAUUCUGGCUAGAAUUAUGAUAAUGACAUUGUCUAGCCAUGUGUCUUGACCAAAUUACGUGCCAGCAGUCGCGGUAAUACGUAGAAGACUAGUGUUAUUCAUCUUUAAUAGGUUUAAAGGGUACCCAGACGGUAAAUCAAGCCCUAGACGGGACUAAUUUUCUAGAGUUACUUACGCGGGGAUUUUAAAGUACUAAUGGUGUAGAGAUAAAAUUUUGUAAUACCAUUUUUCGAAAGAAAAGUUAUGGCACUGGUAAAGGCGAAAGCAUCCUCUUAUGUGAUAACUGACGUUGAAGGACGAAGGCUUUGGAUCGUGAAUAGGAUUAGAUACCCUAGUAGUCGAAGCAGAAAAUUAUGAGUGUCAUAGAUUAGAGAUUAACUUUAUUCUAUAAAUGAAAGUGUAAGCACUCCACCUCAAGAGUAAUUUGGCAACAUUGGAACUGAAAUCAUUAGACCGUUUCUGAAACCAGUAGUGAAGUAUGUUGUUUAAUUUGAUAAUCCGCAAAAAACCUUACCACAGCUUGAAUAUUUAUGUUUUUAUAUAUUUACAAGCGUUGCACGGCUGUCUUCAGUUAAUGUCGUGAGACUUUGGUUAGAUCCAUUAAAUUAACGUAAGCCCUUACUUUAUUUAUAAAUAAAGUUGUUCCCCGCUAUAUUGGAUAUGAUAACAGGGACUAAGACAAGUCAUCAUGGCCUUAAUGCUGU